UACGUAGGGACCGAGCGUUGUCCGGAAUCAUUGGGCGUAAAGAGCGUGUAGGCGGCCUUUUAAGUCCUGCGUGAAAUCCUGCGGCUCAACCGCAGACGGUCGUGGGAAACUGGAAGGCUAGAGUGCGGGAGAGGAGAGUGGAAUUCCCGGUGUAGCGGUGAAAUGCGCAGAUAUCAGGAGGAACACCGGCGGCGAAGGCGGCCCUCUGGAUCGUUGCUGACGCUGAUACGCGAAAGCGUGGGGAGCAAACAGG
rnacentral:rRNA from 1 species